AUUGAACGCUGGCGACAGGCCUAAUACAUGCAAGUCGAGCGAGCGGCGGACGGGUGAGUAAUGUCUGGGAAACCGCCUGAUGGAGGGGGAUAACCACUGGAAACGGUAGCCAAUACCGCAUACUAUCAGAUGUGCCCAGAUGGGAUUAGCUAGUAGGUGGGGUAACGGCUCACCUAGGCGACGAUCCCUAGCUGGUCUGAGAGGAUGACCAGCCACACUGGAACUGAGACACGGUCCAGACUCCUACGGGAGGCAGCAGUAGGGAAUAGUCCACAAUGGGCGCAAGCCUGAUGCAGCCAUGCCGCGUGUGUGAAGAAGGCCUUCGGGUUGUAAAGCACUUUCAGCGGGGAAGCGUUACCCGCAGAAGAAGCACCGGCUAACUCCGUGCCAGCCGCCGCGGUAAUAC
rnacentral:rRNA from 1 species